UACGGAGGAGGCAAGCGUUAUCCGGAAUUAUUGGGCGUAAAGCGUCCGCAGGUGGCACCUCAAGUCUGCUGUCAAAGACCGGGGCUUAACCCCAGAAAGGCAGUGGAAACUGAAGUGCUAGAGUGCAGUAGGGGUAGAGGGAAUUCCCGGUGUAGCGGUGAAAUGCGUAGAGAUCGGGAGGAACACCGGUGGCGAAGGCGGGUCUCUGGGCGAACAACUGACGCUGAGGAGCGAAAGCGUGGGGAGCGAACGGGAUUGAGAAACCCCGGU
rnacentral:rRNA from 1 species